GACGUAGGGCGCAAGCGUUGUCCGGAUUUAUUGGGCGUAAAGAGCUCGUAGGCGGCUUGUCGCGUCGACUGUGAAAACCCGUGGCUCAACCAUGUGGUCUGCAGUCGAUACGUGCAGGCUAGAAUUCGGUAGGGGAGACUGGAAUUCCUGGUGUAGCGGUGAAAUGCGCAGAUAUCAGGAGGAACACCGGUGGCGAAGGCGGGUCUCUGGGCCGAUAUUGACGCUGAGGAGCGAAAGCGUGGGGAGCGAACAGG
rnacentral:rRNA from 1 species